rnacentral:rRNA from 1 species
AUGAACGCUGGCGGCGUGCCUAAUACAUGCAAGUCGAGCGAACGGACGAGAAGCUUGCUUCUCUGAUGUUAGCGGCGGACGGGUGAGUAACACGUGGAUAACCUACCUAUAAGACUGGGAUAACUUCGGGAAACCGGAGCUAAUACCGGAUAAUAUUUUGAACCGCAUGGUUCAAAAGUGAAAGACGGUCUUGCUGUCACUUAUAGAUGGAUCCGCGCUGCAUUAGCUAGUUGGUAAGGUAACGGCUUACCAAGGCAACGAUGCAUAGCCGACCUGAGAGGGUGAUCGGCCACACUGGAACUGAGACACGGUCAAGACUCCUACGGGAGGCAGCAGUAGGGAAUCUGCCGCAAUGGGCGAAAGCCUGACGGAGCAACGCCGCGUGAGUGAUGAAGGUCUUCGGAUCGUAAAACUCUGUUAUUAGGGAAGAACAGAUGUGUAAGUAACUGUGCACAUCUUGACGGUACCUAAUCAGAAAGCCACGGCUAACUACGUG